ACAGUGUGUGUUAUUUUUAUUUAAACGAUAACAACAUUUUCACAGCGCUGUAGAACUCUUAUUGUCAGUCCUGUAACGAUUAUUUCAUGUUUGUAAGAACAUCUACAGUUUGAGAAGGGUUUCCACAAACAUGGAAGCACCGCCGAUGUAUCCGGUUUAUCCUGAUGUUCCUAUGAAGCCGCUAUCGUCGGACCCUGGUUCCAGGUUCGACACCAACAAGAGUCGUGGCUCGGUGAACAUGAUGGCGCAGGAUAAGAUGUUCCAGUGGACCGAGUGUCGGAUCUGGAUCAACUCCAAUAUCGUCAACGAAAUAAUGGAACAGGGUGGAGUUGUUCCCCCCGCCCCCGAAUCCAAGCGUAAUAUCAAUGUCGUCAACAGCUUCCUUUCAGACCCAAAGAAAACCAAAACCGGCGACCUGCUGAAACAGAGAUACUGCGAGAGUUUGGUUGGCUUGCAGGGGAGCUCGUAUUUUGUGUUUGGAUUACCACGAGUCAGGAGAAUUGUGAGAGAUGUGAACGAAGACUUACAACCAGACCAACAAGCAGACGACAGCACGGGGAAACUGUCAGACGUAAGGGACGACCGCGAGGAAAACAUCAGAGAUACCAAGAAUGAUAUAUUCCCAGAAAGUCGGAGUCUUGGGGAAAAACGCAAUGAUUACAAAUUGGGAGAAAGUCGAGCUGACAAGAAAGCUGGGAGAAAGUCGAGCCGAUUAUAAGCUGGGAGAAAGUCGGUUUGAUCAGCUGGGGGACACAAGAAAAGACAGACUGAGAGAACCCACAAACCGGCCCUGGGAGUCAAGGAACGACAGGGGACGUGGAGCUGUGGACGACAGACAAAAUCUGAGAGAAAGCAGCCGACCCCCCGGCAUCUCCAGGACAACCAGCGGGCGCCAAGACGACAUCAAAUCGAAUCCACUCGGACAGAGUGGGGCCUACGAUCUAAGUAACACUUAUAGAGAGGACCUCCGAGAGAGCAGGAGAGCCCGACCAGAACCUCGAGAAUCGGCUGGUUCCGGUCUGUACGCCAGCAGAGUGGCUUAUGACAUGAAGAAAUCCUGGAAGGCAGACCCGCCACUGUACGCUUCCAAGGUUCUACCCGACCGCCCCUCGGGCGGAGGGGAGCGGUACGAUGACAUAGAAAGUUGGAGACCCCAGAUCCCGUCCCCCCGGGCGAGAGAUGACUACCCCCUUCCUAGGCCACCCCCGCCCCCACCCCCGCCACCGAUAUCGCACGCACCCAGCGGCCGCUACGCCGACGUCAUAAGACGAUAGGCUGGCCCCUCUCGUGGAGUUUGUGGUUCAUGGUUUCGACUGUACAAAGAGGUAUCAUCUAUCGUUAAUCCAGGAUAUAUAUUACAUUAAUUACGCAGACAACAUGACUAAGAAUUUUGUGAAAAAAACGUGUUUAAAUGCUAUCAAAAGAAAUAACGAGCAUUGUUGGGUUUCCAUUGAAGGGUAAUGGAGCGUGACCGUUAUUGAGGUUGUGAUCUAUGGACUAGUGCUUAUGGACCGUUUGUGCAAUAGAUUCAUUACCGAUGCAACAUACAGCUUUAAAUUCCAGACGUGGUUACAUAAUUGACUCGUAUUCUCAUUUUAUAAUAGACUAACCGAUGUGCUUUCCAUAGGAAUAUCAGAUAGGCUGCAUAGCCCCCUAUUAACCUAGCCUAUUCACACCGCCUGCUAUUACAUUGUAUAAUAUUGUAUAGUAUUAGUGCUUCUCAUUUUAGCUCACCUGAGCCAUUUGCUCAAUGUCAAAAAGCCUUCUUAAGUGAAGGGCUUUCAAAGUUAUUAAAAUAAGAGCCAAGCUACCCCCUCAGAUAAUUCUAAAAACUUCCACAAUAGAGGAAAUUUCAAUAUACAUGUACAUAUGAAAACCUCUUUUAUAUAGAGUAGUUUUCGAAAGUGUUCAAACUGGUACCGCUGAACCAAUAACGCGUGGGGCUCCAGAGGGAAUGUAAUCUUCAAAAUAGAAAUUUAAUGUUGAAAUUCUUCUUAAUCUGUUUAUUCUAUUAAACUUCUGGGCAGCACUGUAUUAUGAUAGUAAGUGCGUGCAAGUAUCCCAGUAUUGAUAAAAAUUGAAUUUGUUUAAAUCACUCACUGUACCACAAGAGCCCAAGAAGAGGUUUCCUACCCCACACUAAGAUAGCAAUGCAAAGUUUUAUGAUGUAGGAAAAUAUAAACAGAGGUACAAAAUCAAACUUGAGAUCAGUUCCAUAAGUGAGCCUUAUGGUCCAUUCUCUUGGGGAUUCGAAACAAUGUCAAAUAUUGGAACAAGUCCCCUGUUAAACAAGGGAUUUGUUGUAUCAGUCCAAUUUCCUGUGGAAAGCUUACAUAUCAGCUUUAAACAACUUCACUGUACUUGUAUAUACCACUUAUUGUACCACUUCUGUUACUUGUAUAUACCACUUAUUGUACCUCUCCUGUUACUUGUAUAUACCACUUAUUGUACCACUCCUGUUACUUGUAUAUACCACUUAUUGUACCUCUCCUGUUACUUGUAUAUACCACUUAUUGUACCACUCCUGUUACUUGUAUAUACCACUUAUUGUACCACUCGUUAUUUGUAUAAACCACUUAUUGUACCACUCCUGUUAUUAGUAUGUAACCUAACCAUGGUAUACAUGUAAUCAAUAAAUAUGUCAUUUUUUAACAGACAAGUAUGAUACUUCAAGGAAAUUCUAAAGAAAUUAAAUGAUAAGACAU
rnacentral:misc_RNA from 1 species